CCAACAGAGAUAUUUCAACAUUCUCAGACACCCAAUAUUCCUAUCAAGCCAUAUUUACAUCAGAGGAGCCAUCUUCCAUAAAAUUAAAAAUAUGCCUUCACUCUCCACCAGGAAUUCAACAGUUCAACAUCUCUUUCAAUCAGUUGAAUCAACAAAUGGAAAGGCAAAACAGAGACCGUAAUUUACAGGUCUAUGGCCAAUGAAGAAUCAGAUGAUCAACCAUCUCUCCAUUGCCUUCUUUUUUUUUUCCUUCAUCCAUGAGAAAGAAGUGAAUGAAGAGAACCAGCUACACCACGCCGUCUUCCCUUUUCAUUGUUGAAUAAAUCCUCUGCAAUAGCUUCCAUUUGCUUCCGGCUUUUUUCUUCUUUCACAUAGUCGAGCAUCUCCGGAUUGCCAUAGUCAGUAUCUUUGUAUGGCAAUUUUGAGAAUGGAAUCAGGUUGUUGAAGCUAUUUCCUGAUUGCGUGUUUUUCUUUUUGAAGCGCUUGAAGUUUAAAAUUCUAUCACUUGUAGUAGAACUGAUUGUCACAGGUAAAUGCCAAUCCCUAAUAAUUAAUUCUUGGCUAUAAAUGAUAUCAGAAUUUGCACUUUCAGGGUCUUCCCCCUUCUCCUUUUUUGCUGUCAUUCCACCGUAAUUGUCCAUAGAGCUCAUGACAUGGUUAUCCUCUGAUUUAGUAAGGCAAUGAACAGUGGAUAUUUCUACUUUGUUCACACAUUUAGGGGCUUCUUCACUGCAGAUAUUGGCUGUGGAAUGAAUUGAUGUCAUUCCCACUUCCUCAUCAGAAUCUGCUACUACUGUCUCAUCCGUGGAGCAUGAUGAUGAAACAAGCACAGUUGGUAAUAUAAAUAUAGAUGAAUCUAAAUGCCCAGAUAUAACAGCACAUGACAGAUCCACUUCAUUCACUUUAGAUAAUGAACUCAGUUUGCUAUAACGACCAGACUUGUCAGUUGACCCUUGAGGGAUAACAUACACCAUUUGAACAUUUUCUCCACAAUCCAAGCCUUGGCUACUUGAACAAAAUUCUUCAAUGAAAAUAACAUUUGCACCGCUUACUUCCAACAGAGACUGCAACCUGUCCCCGAACUUAUACAUAUUUGUUGAUUCUAGAAGACAAGUGUAUCCAUCCAAACAUUUUGCCCGAGUUACUGAGUCCACAACUUUGGUUGGUACUCCUUCCACUGUUAAUGUCGGGAUAUAGGAAUUCCAGCUAGGAAUUUCCGACCCAAUGCUUUUUUCAGCAACCAACUCGGCCCAGCUAUGGAGAACAACAGGUUUCUUAGCUACAAUAGCAUCAACAACAUCUUUAUUUACUGGCAUUUGGUGAUCAACAAGUACAUGUGUACACUCUUCACUCAAUUGGAAAGUAAUACGAGCGCCAAUUGAUGAAACUUUGUCUUCAAGGGUUUGAUUGCCUUGGAACGACUCAGAGCAGUAGACAAAAAAAUUGAGUGGAACAAAACAAAACCUGUAUGUUGCAUUACCCGUCCCAAAAGAAAUCAGGUCCCCUUCUUUUAAAGUUGUUUCUUUAUUUGGGAACUCUUGAACCUUUUCCAUUGACCCAAGAUUCUUGUUAAUGAAUGUGCCAUACUUUGAAAAAUCUCUAAUUCGAAUUCUGGAGGACCAUUCAGACUUGCUUUCCAUGGCGUUAGACAAAGUCAUUUCAUCAACAACUAUCUCUGCAUGGAUACGAGAAACUCCUUUG
rnacentral:misc_RNA from 1 species